UAAAUGUCCCUAAAAAUAAUUAAAAUAGAAAAGACACCUGUAGAAUAAAUAUAUCUCUUUCUUUCUUUUCACAUCUAACACUCAAUACAAUUCUUCUUCUUUAAAGUAGAAGACAACUAAGGGCAUGUAUAAUUGACGAUGACAAUACAAUUCUUUGAGUUUUGUUCUUCAAACUCAACAAUGAUACAUUCUAAAGUUUUUAUUGAUAGCAGUAAUUUUGUAUUUGCUCAUGUGACUUUUUUAAUCUUAUAAUUUGAUAAAAAAAUUAAUUUUUUAUAAUUUAUUUUAGAUCUAUAAAUACAAAAAAAAUUGUAUUUU
rnacentral:lncRNA from 1 species